ACGCCCUGACCAUACUAAAUAAUGACAAAACAAAGGAAAUAAAAAGGUCAGAACAUGACAGCUGUUUCUCUGUUUAUGGGAAAUUCCUCAACUCUGAACUAUCUCUGUGUUUUGUUUGCAUCGUGAGGAAAAGAGAAGCCACAACGAGUUCCGGGGUCGCUCCUCACUCAAAACCUUGACCGUCCCCGAUAAAAAAAAUGUUUUAAUUUCAUUGGCUAAUGCACAAAUUCACUUCAGAACACUAAAAGACUAAACGGACUCUGCAAGACUCCAGCACAACGACGUAAACUACAAUGGAUUAUUCAACCAAUGACAGCAAAUCAACCAGCAAGAAAAAAGUGGAGGUCGUUUGGUCGGCAACUUGAAUGCCUGCUACUUUGCAAAAAGAGGUUUUCAAGUAGAAGUCUUUGAAUCUCGAGAAGGUUGUCUCCAAAGGAAUUCCCAUGCAUUCCAGAAUGAUCCACACUUUGAAUGGGACACAGUCUCCCAUUCCUUAUGGCAAGAAAGGCCAGUACAUCCUGUCUCUCGACAGAGCCAACCUCAACAAAGAACUGUUGUCAGCAGCAGAGACCCCAACAUAAAUCUGAACUUUUCCCACAAACUACUCGACUGGAGCACUGAAACAGGGGCGAUGACCUUUGUCAGGGCUGAAGGUGCAAAGGAAGAGAUCCAGGCAGACUUGAUUGUGGGAUGUGAUGGAGCGUUCUCUGCCAUUCGGAAACAGUUCCUCCGUCAGAACCGUUUCAAUGACAGUCAGACCUACAUCCCUCAUGGGUACCUGGAGCUCACCAUGCCCCCCCAUCAAUGGAGAGUUUGCCAUGAAGCCUAAUUAUCUGCACAUAUGGCCACGCAACACGUUCAUGAUGAUUGCUCUGCCCAACUUGGACAAGACUUUCACCUGCACACUCUUCAUGCCAUUUGAGGAGUUUGAGAAAGUUACCACAGGCGACAAGGGAGGCUCUUAAGAGGGAUUAUUUCCGUCUGCCGGCCCAGGCCAUGGUGUCCUUGAAGUGCUCCCCAUAUCACUUUGGUGACAAGUGCGUCCUUAAGGGCGAUGCAGCGCACGCUGUGGUGCCAUUCUAUGGUCAGGGGAUGAACGCAGUUAACGCAUCGUUCAGGGCUUUGAAGACUGCCUUGUUUUCAACGAAAUCAUGGACCAGUUCAACGAAGACUUCAGGGAGUAAACACACGUGCCGUUCUGCCUGAGUACACCAGAGUCAGAGUCCCAGACAACCACGCUAUGGCAGACCUGGCCAUGUACAACUACGUUGAAGUAACGUAGUAGCCAUUUAGAUAUUAGUACUUAAAUCAAUCACCAGGGUCUGAGGCUAUUCGUUAGGGCAUGCUACGGAAAAACUGUUUAAAAUGUUUUGCUUUGGAAAACAGAAAUGAAGUCCAAGU